rnacentral:lncRNA from 1 species
GAGGCCAAGCCAUAAAAAUUCAAGUGAAGAAGGUAUAGAGUUGACCUCUGAAGAUUGUGAAUCGACUCUAGCAUGAUAGCAUCAAGUGAUACAGGGCUUAAGUCAACUCUCUUAGGAAAGAUAGAAAGUAGAUUUUCCAUAUACAGUUUUCAAAUUGACCCCUGAAAACUUUGAAUUGACUCAAAGAUAGCUCGAGUCAACCCC